UGGGGAAUAUUGCACAAUGGAGGAAACUCUGAUGCAGCGACGCCGCGUGAACGAUGAAGGCCUUCGGGUCGUAAAGUUCUGUCCUUGGGGACGAUAAUGACGGUACCCAAGGAGGAAGCCCCGGCUAACUACGUGCCAGCAGCCGCGGUAAUACGUAGGGGGCGAGCGUUGUCCGGAAUUAUUGGGCGUAAAGGGUUCGUAGGCGGUUAUUUAAGUCAGAUGUGAAAGGCAUAGGCUCAACCUGUGUAAGCAUUUGAAACUGAGUAACUUGAGUUAAGGAGAGGAAAGUGGAAUUCCUAGUGUAGCGGUGAAAUGCGUAGAUAUUAGGAGGAAUACCAGUGGCGAAGGCGACUUUCUGGACUUAUACUGACGCUGAGGAACGAAAGCGUGGGGAGCAAACAGG
rnacentral:rRNA from 1 species